UUUAAUUUGAGGAUUAAUUUUGGUCAACAGCAAACUUUCCAAUUUAAGCACAUGACAGAGUAUGCGUAUGUCACUUAAAAGGUGGUAGAGAUCUGUUUUGUAACAUAUUUUAUUUUCAAUAAGAAACUGAUGGUUAAUUUCUGGAAUCUCUUUCUUUAGACUGGCCACUGUGACUUUCAAAUGAGCUCUAGAUGAAGUAUUGAAUGGAACACACUGGUGCAGCAGCUGCUCUCCUCGCACAGACGCUUCCUGUGGGGCGAGYGGGACCGCGUGGCCACACUGGCACAGCAGCGAGGGCUGAUGCCACCACUGUGGUGUAYGUCCACAGACAAAGACUGUCCCACCAUUUUCUCCUUUGUGGUGUUGAGAUGAGAAGUCUUAUCUGUGACUGGAGGAUGGCUUCUGUUCAGAGAACCAGCAAUGUCCUUAUAAGAGAGGAAACAUGA
rnacentral:lncRNA from 1 species